GGAUGUGAGGCCUGUGGCAUUGAAGCAUUCAUAGCCAACAGCCAGCACCUGAAUGGAGCCUCCAUCUGAUUACCUCAGGGAACUGAAUUCUGCCAACAGUCACCUGUGCUUUUGAAAGUUCUGCACCUUAGAAAGGGGUUGGACCCACGUGCCACUUGGUUGCAACCUUGUGAAACUCGGAGCACAGAACCCAGCUCAGCUGGGCCCACACUUCGGAACUGUGGAAGCUGGGAGGUAACAAAUAGGGAUUUUAAAGUGCUCUUGUGUUAACCGGUUACACCGCCAUGGAAAACAAAACUCCAGGCCAUCUGAACCUAUAGCCGUGCCCUGGCUACAGCCGCUGCCUUCUGAGUCCUCCCCUUUGGUGGAUAAAGUGAGGAGCGCCUGCCGGACGAUGAAUUCUGCUAGUGAUUGUUGAGGGCCCUGGAUUAGGCAGCAGGUUUCCAAGAUGAUGAGGACUAGACAGCAUCGCUCAGGGGCUCGCUAUAGGGUGGGGCAGCAAACAAGGGGCAGGUGCGGAGUCCGUGCGCAUGCCUCCUGGCCCUGUGGGCAUGGGGCUGUGAGGUUGCCUUCAGAGCCGCCUCUGAGGGAAAGCAGACUCUGGAGCUUGGGCGACUGAGUGGGAGGCCGUGGCUGGCAAGUGGGAUGUGCUUCUGUGAAAGGCACCAAGACCUAACUGCAUGCGGAGUAAAACCAAGCAGAGUCGGGAGUUUGCUCCAAGGGCUUCCAUCUGCGCAUGGGAGACUCCCGAGAGGCCCUGGGUGCCUUGUUAUCACUCAGACUACGGUUCUCUGUGGUCAGUGCCCACGUCAUGGGCUUUUUCAGCAGAACAGUUGCCUGGUGGUUUUCUUCCUCCUCUGGAUCAUGGUACCUGAGUCAGAGGAGCAAGGACGUCUGGAAAUGGCGGGAAUGCACUUGGCACCUGGGGACUGGCGUUCUCUGCAGGUUGCUGAGAAGAGAGAAGUGCUGCACAUUCCCGUGAUGUAUGUAAGUGCAUGUAGGUUCUCACCAAGCAGAUCUCAAGUGCUCCGUCGCCAUGUGAGGCUAUUGGCUACCACGUGGGAAGCGCAGUACUGCCUGCAUCUUGAGGACGACAUGGAGCUGAGUCCAGAGACACGCAGGACUUCAUUUGAUUCCAGUGAGUCCCAGUGAGACCAUCUCUACCAGUUAUCCUGAUACUUCUGCACACAUGGGACAGAUGAUACCUUCCUGUUCCAAACCACCUCCAACUCUUCAGCUCGUCUUUGAGGGUCUAACAGGGCAACCGGGACAGAGAACGCUGAGAAGGAGAACAGAAGCCAGACGGGCUCACAGCCAGGUCAUACAACCAACUCCGACUGUCUCCUCGCCAAAAGCCUUAGGACAGGACUGGUACAGUGACUUGGCAUCAACAGCAGAUGGCAUUCAAGCCUCAUGGGACACCCACUGGGCUCAGAGGGGACCUGGGAAAGAGAGAGAUUUUUGAGACCUACCUCCAGCUCAAAAAGCAUCGCACUCGUUAAAGCACCUUGCACCGCACUGAGUACCUCCUCCACUCUCCGCUAGGACCUGUGCCUCGGCCCUCCCCAGACUCAUCAGUGAUGAAUGGCUCUGAAACAUAAUUGCAAGCACAGCUCCAUCGAGGACCACCUUACAGGCCAGCGCUGUGGACGGCACAAUGCCUGCAUAGUCCGGGGGGACACAGGUGCUCCCGGAUUUCCCAGCUGCAGACCAAAGAAGGUGGGUCAACAUCUGUGGGGUCCAGCGGCCCCCCCCCGACCUGCAGUGUGCACAUGGCCAGCUGGUGGCUGUGAGACAGGUGACCUGGGGCAGCUCAGCUUGUGUGUCAUCCACCAAUACUAAGCCAGCAGUGGCCACAAUUCCUCUCAAGAGCUGCCACACAUUAAGCACCUACUGUUGCCAAGAACCGGGCUGGCAUUAUACUCUUAUUUCAAUAAUUUAAUCCUGGUGCUAACUUGUCAUUAUUAUUUCUGUCUCACCAAUGUGGAAACAGAAGCAUGGGGGGCGGGGGGACUACGUGCCUUUUUUUUUGGCUGCUACUAAGUGCUUAGGAUAUGACAGAUGCCACACACACAAACGCGAUCUCACUCAAUCAUUGCACUAACUCUCGCUGAAGUAGGGGGUUUGCUUGUAUCCAUCCACCAGGCGGUGGAAGAACAGGUUAGAGAACAUGUCGAAGGUCUAGUGAAUUAAGGGCAUUGCUGAGAGUUGGGUUCAGGUCACAGAUGCAGUUUUCUCUGUGCUGCCAUGGUCUGCAGAGAGGCC